AAACUACAACACCUGUUAAAAGAUCAGAACGGAAAAGAAAAGAACAAGUGAGAGUCCAGAAAAUCUCUUAGAAAGCUAAAUAUUUCACUAUAUUGCUAUGGACAGGCAACUUCAAUUAACAGGUCUACUGUUAGAUCACUAGCUGUCUAACAAGAACAUUAAGAACUGCACCUUUGCAGAAAAAAUGGCAGUUCGCAAGGAGUGAUCAAAGUAUAAUUCACAUGAGAUAUGAACAGGAAACAUCUGCUUUAUCUGUACAAAUCAAAAUAGCAGAUGAUACCAAUGUCUGCAUCUGAAAAAAAAUCUCAGAAAAUGUUGGCACACUAAUGACCUUACGACCAAUUAUCAUUCUGCAUUUCCCUCCACAAUGGGGUUUUGCGGCUGGUUGUCAUCCAGAGUUCUCUCUGAUGCAGGGUUUUGCUGCUGUUUGUCAUCAAGAGUUCUCCCUGAUUCAGGGUUUUGUUGCUGGUUUUCAUCCCCAGUCCUCUCUGAAACAGAGUUUUGCUGCUGGCGGUUGCUUCUGGCACGAGGUUUAGUGAAAUAUUUAUCUAUGAAUUCCUCAGCCAAGUCAGGAUACUUCCCCUUGAUGAAGUUCUCUAGGCAUUUACGGUAGGAAAAAUCCUGUUUGCUACCAUCAGUUGAAACGACAUAGAAGCACCUGCUUUCCUGGAAACUGCUGUGCUUGCUAACUGUGACAUGAUCAAUGCCGGCACCCAUCUUUGCCACUUUAUCUGGAUGAUAGUUGAAGACAUUAUCAAGUACAUAUGACUGGUCAGCAGCAGACAGUGGAUCCCCAUCAUUGUACCCAGAUAGAUGUAUUAUUCUUCUGAUAGACCGCAUUAAUGGCUCAAUUUCAGAGAGAAUAUCCUGCUCUUGAGAAGUAAACACAUCCAACCUCUGUCUGGUUGCUGUAAACAUCCCACUCAUACUAGAAUCAUCAUGGACAUUUCCGGGUGACUUGGCAGGGCGGUUCUUGCCUUUCCAGUCUCCACUUUUUGAACCCCAACCUCUUGAUCCUUCAGCUCUUUUUUUCUUAAAUUCUCCACUUUGUUGUCCCCAUUGCUGUUGCCUAUCACUCCCAUUGCUGGCUUCUGAAUCUGGUAAGCCCCAACCCUGGGAACUUGCUGCUUUUACAGACUCUUUGGCUGAGCCCCAGCCUUGUGAAACUUCUGGGCUGGCUCUGGAAUUUGGCAGGCCCCAACCCUGGGAAUUUGCAGCUUUAUCAGACUCUUUGGGCGAGGCCCAGCCUUGCGAAACUUCAGGGCUAGCUCCUGAAGUUUGCAGUCCCCAUCCCUGGGAACUUGCUGCUUUAAUAGACUCUUUGGACAAGCCCCAGCCGUGAGAAACUUCAGGUGACUUGGCUGAUUCUGAAUCUGGCAGGCCCCAAUCAUGGGAACUUCCAGCUUCAACAGAUUCCUUUGGCGUGCCCCAGCCAUGUGAAACUUCAGGUGACUUGGCUGCUCCUGAAUCUGGCAGGCCCCAACCUUGGGAACUUCUUGCUCUAACAGACUCUUUUGGUGAGUCCCAGCCACGUGAAACUUCAGGUGACUUGGGUUUCCCCCAACUGCUACUGUUGACAUGUGAUUCCAAAUGUUGAACUGCUUGAGUUGGAUGUUUGUCCUUACUCCAGUCUUCAGCAGUUGAAGAAACCCUACCAGAUAUCAACUGAUUCUCAGUUACCUCGUUAUCCCACG
rnacentral:misc_RNA from 1 species